CACGGGGGGAGCAAGCGUUGUUCGGAAUCACUGGGCGUAAAGGGCGUCUAGGCGGUCAGAUAAGUGGGAUGUGAAAUGCCCCGGCUCACCCGGGGACCGGCAUCCCAAACUGUCUGGCUUGAGUAUGGGAGAGGAUGUGGGAAUUCCUGGUGUAGCGGUGAAAUGCGUAGAUAUCAGGAGGAACACCGGUGGUGUAGACGGCUCUCUGGACAGUCACUGACGCUGAGACACGAAAGCGUGGGGAGCAAACAGG
rnacentral:rRNA from 1 species